rnacentral:rRNA from 1 species
AGGGGAAUUUUGGACAAUGGGCGCAAGCCUGAUCCAGCCAUGCCGCGUGCAGGAUGAAGGCCCUCGGGUUGUAAACUGCUUUUGUACGGAACGAAAGGCCUCUUUCUAAUAAAGAGGGGUGAUGACGGUACCGUAAGAAUAAGCACCGGCUAACUACGUGCCAGCAGCCGCGGUAAUACGUAGGGUGCGAGCGUUAAUCGGAAUUACUGGGCGUAAAGCGUGCGCAGGCGGUCUUGCAAGACAGUGGUGAAAUCCCCGGGCUCAACCUGGGAACUGCCAUUGUGACUGCAAGGCUGGAGUACGGCAGAGGGGGAUGAAAUUCCGCGUGUAGCAGUGAAAUGCGUAGAUAUGCGGAGGAACACCGAUGGCGAAGGCAGUCCCCUGGGCCUGUACUGACGCUCAUGCACGAAAGCGUGGGGAGCAAACA